rnacentral:ncRNA from 2 species
ACCCGUUCGCGCAACUGGCGCCUCGGAUGGAUCACCAUCGGGAAACGCGGACGACCACGAGCCGCGCGCCUGGGCACCCCCU